rnacentral:rRNA from 1 species
GACGAACGCUGGCGGCGUGCUUAACACAUGCAAGUGGAGCGACGAACCGGGGCUUGCCCCGGGGCAGAGCCGCGAACGGGUGAGUAACACGUGGGUAACCUGCCUCAAUGAUUGGGACAACCCGGGGAAACUCGGGCUAAUACCAAAUGUGUUCACUCCUUCUAAGGGGAGUGAGGAAAGGAAGCUUCGGCCUCCGCAUUGAGAUGGGCCCGCGGCCCAUUAGCUUGUUGGUGAGGUAACGGCUCACCAAGGCUUCGAUGGUAGCUGGUCUGAGAGGACGAUCAGCCACACUGGGACUGAGACACGGCCCAGACUCCUACGGAGGCAGCAGUGGGAAUCUUGCACAAUGCGCGAAAGCGUGAUGCAGCAACGCCGCGUGGGGGAAGACGGCC